AUAUGCUCAUCUCUUCGGAAGAGUCCCCUGAAGGAAGGGAUUAGAAGGCAGAACAAAAUGAGAUGAAACCAUGCCCUGAGCAAAGUUAACUGCAUGAAUUAAGAAGGUCAAAAGGAGAGGGGAAGAGUUCUCUUGCCCUCCUAGAGUGGCUCGUCAAGAGGACGCCAAGGGAAAGGCAUAGAUUCAGUUUGAUAAUCACUCUGGCAGGAUUCUUGCACAAGGCUUGCAGAGAUCAGUGAUAGGAAGGCUGGAGCCAGACACUGCUUCAAGACGGUUUGAAUUUGGCAAGAUGGGGGUAAGAGUUAAUGAUCUCUAGCCACAUAGUGGUUUACCAUUUCCUUUAUGCUUUCUGUACCUUCUUAGCAUGUCAGUGUAUCUGCUGUAGCAUGAGUUCUAAGCCUUUUGUUCUUUUGAGGAUAAGAAAAAAUCCACCUCGUGACUGCCCCAUCACUUUACAAAUUCAUUGUUUACACUCAACUGAUUUCAGGAGAGAAAAGCUCACAUUCAUGUGCAUGCGUGUGACCGUGAUUCCUUCCAAGGAUGUUGGGAAAUCCCAUCUAACAAAGAUCUGAUAUACACAGCAACACAUAACAAAGGGAUUUACUGUCAAAACGUUUAUUGCAAAAUGGAGUCUUAAAACAAAGAAAAAAGCAAAGAAAAGUUCACAUCAAAAUGAAAUGUAUGACACCAACUUGGAUUUCUGAAUACAUUGUGGACUUGUGCUGGAAUAUCAAAUUCCAACUAUGAAAUCAAUAACUGAGUAGUCUUACCACACACGAGUGAUAUGUAAUCUUCCAUACAAACAUUAUACAAGAUAUUUGGCAUAGGAUUUGCUCAGAAUAACAUUGCAACAGAAUAGUUGAGAAAAAGGUUUUGUUAAAAAAAAAAAAGUGAUAAUGCCAUCUAUUCAAAGCUCACACUCAAAGAAUAUAAAUAUUUCCUAUUAUUUAGUACAAAAUUUCUAAAAGUGCAAAAGCAAUAUGUGCAGUGUAUUGUAUCUGACAUUAAAAGUUAAACUGUUCUGCACACAAUAUAAAAUAAUUAAUGUAGGUGCUUGAAACACUAGUUUUAAAGUCAAUAAUCACAUGCCAGAAAGCUCCUCAUAGGCAAUAGUGUGCAACUGAUAGUUGAAGCAUAAACGAACAUGGCUAGCUAGCCCUUCAGAUUUCCUGGUACACGCUCCUUUUUCAUCACAGAAAUGCUACAGCUAUCAGGCUGGGCCACAAUCGAAAGAACAGAACAGAUUGUUCUUUCUGGCAACGCUUAAAGUCUAAACAGGAAAACAGUCUUACUCAAAAGCAGCAAAAGGUGCCUGAUUAUAGAAAAAUUAUGCUCUCUCAUAUGUGGUAGAGUGAGAAUGUGCUAGUUUUCAAAUGCUGCAACAAGUCUAGCGUAUCAAAAACCAAAAAAGUCUCAAUAUUUAACUCAGAAUAGCUAUUAAAAUGAUCUUUCAUGAAAUUCUUACUACUCCAAUGAAAACUCUGAAAAAUAAAGUUAUGUACAUCAUAGUUCUAGGAGAAGUCAUUCUGGAUCUCUCCCAAAUCUUACGUCUGAUUCCUUGAUUUUAAUGGGAAUCAAUUUUGAAUUAACUCAGCUGGUGUUAAAAUCUAACAGAUUUGCUGCAUGUUAAACAUCACUGGCUAAAAACUGGCCCUCAACAUUUCCAGAGGAUCCAAAACAAGUGUCCUAUGUGCCUUCAACUCUUCCCAUUGGUUAUUAAUGUAAAAUACUAAAAUGUGAUUUUACUUAACACACACACACACACACACACACACACACACACACACAGCCCUUUUAAAUUAACCUGGCUGCUUUGAAGAACUAUAGCUCCCUCAGUGAUGUUUUCCUUUUUUACUUAUUUUGGAAUUAGUGUAACAGAGUGACACCAACCCCCACCCCAGGUAAAUUUUGCUGUUUUAUAAAGUUUCCACCAGCAUUCUUAAGGGGAAAGAAACCAUUUCCACAAGGGAGGAUUUAAGAUAAAUGCCACAAACCUAUAAACUAUAGAUUGUACAAUAGUUGUAAUUUUGGAAAUGCAUCUUUUGACUUGAGCAAUUUUGUUUGAGGGAGAAAAAUUUGAUACAGAACUGUAAAACUGCCAGGUUUAGCAAGUUUCUUAAAGGGGAAAGGGACAAUGCUAUUGGUAAAUGGAAUUCUUUAUUGGGUGGGACUGUCCCUGGCAUGCAGGAUGUUACCAUUUUUGGCACUGGGCAUUAAAUACACCCCAGUCACUGUGACAACCAAAAAUAUUCUCCAGCCUCCUCCCCCGCCAAACAUCAUUAGGUGCCCAAGACGAGAAUGGCUGGUAGAGAGUCAUCAAAUUCUAGAUCGUCAACUUUAUGAAUAUAGAAAAAGAGAUGAAAAAGAGUAAUUAUAUUUUCAGUUGUAGGACUCUGAAAAUUAUGACAAUUUAGAGUUUCAAUUAUUAUUGUGAGUCUUUAAAUUUCUUAGUGUUUCUUUAUAAGUAUACACUUUUGUAAGUCAAGUAAUUGGAAAUAAAUCCAACAUCAACAAUUUGCCAUUUGAAAAACUAAUUUGAAAAGUGAAUUAGAAGCUGUACAAUUAACAUCAUUAGAAAAUGUGCAUAAUAAACAGUUCCUUUGAAAAGUAAUAAGAGUCUAAAGUCUUCUAAAUAAUCUUCACAGAUAGAGUGAGACCACUUUAAAAUUUUGUUUAUAGGAUUUAGACUUUAGGGAUGUUCAAAACCCUAGAAAGGGACUUAACUGAAACAAAGUAAUGCUGUAUGAUAAUUACCUAUAAUAAAAUACAAUUCCAGGUGGAGAACAAUUUCAAGCUUAUCAAUGAAGUUUUCAAUUCUGCUGUACCCUAAAUCCCUGAAUACUGGUGAGGAAGAUGACAGCAGUGGAGAGAUCAGGGAGAUAUUCCCUAAUUAACGGUAACCCCUAGGUCUGAGUCCUAUUACCUUUCUCUUCUAGCCCUAUUUGGCUGCUUCUAUUCGGUGCUUCUAUUACACCGAAACUUUAUGUGUAAUUACGAUAGAUUUAUAUGUAAAUUAAGAAAAAAAUGUCAGUUUCGUUCUGUUUAUAUGUUCUAAAUUUGUUGAUGAGGAUUCUUGAAUGAGAGGCAGGGUUUACAUUCUUACAUAAAGUGCACAGAUCUCAAAAUUAGCCCACGGACAUUCCCUGAUCAGCGAGGCCUUGUCCGACCACACUUGAAAACCCACAACAUUCCUCCGUGUGUGUCAUCUUCUUUCCCUGCUCCGUUUUUCAGCAUGCACUUAACAAGUGUUUACGUACUAUAGAACCCACUUGUUUUGUUUACUGUCAGGAUCUCUGCUCACUAGCAGGUGUGCUCCAUGAGCACCAGGGUCUCCCUCUAGCUGGUCCCUGGAACAGUCCCUGGCACAGAGAAGGGGCUCAAUGAAUAUCUGUGGAAUGAAUGACUUUAUCUUUCUCUAGAAAGAUGUGCAAGAGGCUUUUAAACUACUUCCUACUUGGGGCACCUGGGUGGCUCAGUCGGUUGAGCGUCCGACUUCAGCUCAGGUCAUGAUCUCACAGCUUGUGAGUUCGAGUCCCACGUCGGGCUCUGUGCUGACAGCUCGGAGCCUGGAGCCUGCUUCGGAUUCUGUGUCUCCCUCUCUCUCUCCCCCAACCUACUCGCAUUCUGUCUCUGUCUCUCUCAAAAAUAAAUAAAUAAACAUUAAAAAAAAUGUUAACUACUUGCUCCUUGAUUCUCUCCUCCAGGUUGCUGGACUACAGUGUCCCCAGGGCAUGCUGGGAAGUCAAGAGUUGAAAACCACCCCUCUGCUUGGCUCCCAGAUGCUCAGCUUGAGGGGCUCAGCUUGAGUCAAGGAGUGCUCCUCUUACGUCUGCGCACGAACAGGACACCUGUUGAGGUUUGUGCCUGUUUGCCGGCAGCACUGUGGAGUGUGCAUCUGUGAAUGGCUGCAUAGACAGAAGGUGUACUAGAUUGGGUAUGGAGGGAACCCAUCUUCCAGGGGAAAGACUUACCUAUUCAUUCUGUUUUUACUUAGUCUAUGGGUGGUAGCAGGGCCUGCAAACCCCUCAGGUAUGUAGUUUUCAAAGAACACCAGGUUAAAUUUGUUUAUAUAGUUUACGUUCUAAGAAUGCUUUCUUCAUCUUUCCCGAAAGCUGUUUACUUUAACUUUCAUUGCCUACUACUCAAGAAGUAUUACUUGAAAUUGAUAAUUUUCCAGGUUACUGUAACCACUUAUUUUUCACUGGCAUAAUGAAGACUUGCUAAAGUUAACUGACCACUUCCCAUGGGCCUGGUUCUGUGUUAAGUGCUUUACAUGUAUUAUUUCAUUUAAUCCCUUCAGCAAUCCUUUGAAGUGGGUACUGUUACCAUUCCCAUGGCAAAAAUGAGCAGACAGAUACACAGGUUAAAUUUCUAACAGAUUACACGGUAGUUUUGAAUCAUAAUUUGACUACAGAUCCUUCUCUUUAUCACCAUGGCAUAUAGACUGUUCUGCAUUUCACACCCCAGGACAUUUUAAUAGUUAUUUUUCUCCAAAUAAAGCUGGCACAGUGUACUGAUCAUUUUGUGGUAUUUUUCAGCUGUUAAUAGGGAUUAGAAGCCUGUCAUGCUUCAAAUUUCCAGAGACUUUCCUGAUUGAGUAUACUUGGAAAUAGUAUUAGAUAAUAUCUAUGAUGAUCUCCUUUCUUAAAUUCCCCAUAAAAAGAACUACCAAAAGUGUUUUAGUUUAAUAGUCAAAUGAAUGGCCCUUCUUUCCAAAAUAGGCUGAAAAAAGUUUUUAUUCUUUUGCCUUUCUUGUAUAUAUAGUACUACAAAUGUUUUGUAGUUCGUUUUGUUUUUUCAAACAGUGUUUUAUAGCUUUGACAAAUGUGAUAACAUUCUGAGAACCUCUCUCUGGAGAACUAGGUUUUCAGACGGCACCUACAUUCACUUCCAUUUAUCACCAGUGUGGCUCAAUCCAGGUCCAAAAAAAAAAACCCAAAAACAUUCUGGGAGGCUGGAUCUGAAUUAAAAAGUACCCUUCAUCCUCCACGUCUGUCUCAGUAGAUAUAAUUUACCUUUGCUCUUCCCUUUAUAUAUUUAGUUCCCUCUUUAAAACAUCUCUGCAUAUAUUUAGAACCCAGAAUGAUCAUGCCCCUGUGGAAAAAGAACAUGCGUAUAUCCUUACUGGCAGCGCAGAGCAGGUCUGUAUUAGCACUUGAGCUGCCCUGCCUGUAAGUUUCCCUUUAAGACCAUACCCUUCUUUUAUAAACUACGCCUCAGAUGAUCGUGUGUUGUUCAGAAGCUUCCAGGGCUAGCACUGGCAUGAAAGCCUGCAACAUCUGCUGUUGGUUUCAAAUUAGAGUAUUUCUUCUUCCAGUAUACUAUUAAGAACAUCUCUCAGGUUUUACUGUGAGUAGUUGUGCUAUUAAGUAUUGAAAAUUCUUGGCAUUUAGGUAUUUCUGAAGUAUUUGUGAUCGCCGCCUUUCAUCUCAAUUUUUUUAUUGUUGGAUUUUGUAGUCACUCUCAAUUAUUUCUGACAGCACAGCAUAUUGCCAGAAGAAAAAGAAAUGUAGUGUGUUACAAGAAAAUCAGUGUCAAAGAAGAAUUAGGAGUUAAGAGUGCUUUUUCAAAAUCUAAGUUUUCUUAAGCAAUUAAAUAAAUGAAAUCAAAUCAAAGUAUAAAGUAUUUGCUUGAAAAAAAAAAGCCAGAAUAUAAUUAGUUGUGAAAAAUACUAUAUUGUAUAAUAGAGUCACAAAUUUCUAUAAUCAGGCACCACAUUUGCUGACUCAUUAAAUAUACCUUUCUGGCUUAACCCUCCCCCACCCACCCCCAUUUUUCUGUAAGCAGGAAAAAAAAAAAAAGUAAAAUCAUUAAAGAAAUGACUGUCAUAGAAAUGUGAUUGGCUUAAAAAUUCCGUGCUUACUUUUCUACCUCCUUACUGGUUUUCGUACAGACUGAGUAGCAAGUUUCUUUUGGUUUGCCGAACAUUUUCAAUUUUCUUACUUUGCUGUCUGCUUUCAUUCACUAUUAUUAUCCAUGUCAUUAUCCUCCUCAUCACCGUCAUCAUCAUCAUCAUCAUCAUCAUCAUCGUCACCUUCUGACAAGUCAAAAUCACUGAACCCCAGGGCCAUGUUGACCUUCUUCCCCCUCCUCUUAGAUGUGGUUUUGGAAGAAUUCUGCUUGGCUUGCAUGUUUAUCUGCAUCCCAGAAUGCAGCACAGCUCCUGCUUUGUUCAUUGAGAAGAUAUCCCCAAAGCCCAUCAGCAUCAUGGCCUGCAGACUUUGGUUCAUGCCAUGGCCCUCCCCGUUACUUGUUGCUGUGAUCUGACAUGACAUCUCUGCACUGUUUGACUCCUCUGUCUUAGAUUCAAAGUAAGACUCCUCAGACAUUCUUGCAGCAAGAGGCAAGAGAAGCUAUCGUGAGGGAAGAAAGGACAGAAGCAAAAAGAGAAAUUAGGACCAAUUUAAAUAAAGGAAACAGAUACCACAAAAUUAGUGGGUGCUGCACAGAAGGUAAAUGAUUAGUGAAAUAAACGAAUGUAGGGAAUCCUGUAAAAACGUAUUUAAUGGCAGGUUUGGCUCCAGCAUAUUUGCCAUAAUUUAUAAAUGACAGAGUAAACCACAACCAAAAGUUUGCAGAGCGCCACAGCAGGCCAGAUUUCAAAUGGGAAGGAAGUUGCAAGUUUUAAGCCCUCAUUUCGCUUACAACAGUUUUUAGGAUCUCUCUUAAUUUUUUCCAAUUUCACUUUCACACAGAAACGUUAAAUAUUAAAUUAAAAAGAAAUUAAGUAGAGAUUAAAUCUCAAGUAAAAAAUGAAGGAACCUUGUACCAAAGGAUCAAGUUCAGAGGAAGCAUAAAGACAGUUCAGUAGUCAAUACCCUUCUACAGAAAUCUGGGCCAUUAAUCUCCUUUCUAUCUAGAUUAUCAUCUGACUCUAAAUUAAAAAGGAGUCUAGGAUUCAGUAGUUUCUGCUUAUUAUUUAUUACAACCAGAUAGAAACCUAGUUACUUGACUUAUGAAAUAAUUCACUUAGUGAACAAAUUCUAGAUCUGUCUCUAAUACUUAAGGACAUAAAUGCAUAUGAAAAUUUGGGGGAGAGAAAAUUAGUAUUAAUUUAGACUGUUACCUUUUGCUCUAUUCUCUAAGUGCCCUUCUUGUAGUAGAACUCUUUUUUCUAGGAAUUCCCCCUCUCACAGUGGUAGAACUCUAUUUUCUACCUUACAUCAUGAUUUUGAACAACUAACCUAUUCCCAUAAAUGCUGGUCUUACUCAUUUCAGGAGUCUGUCAGGAUCUGAAAAGUGUUACUGCCUCUUCUUUUGAGAAACAAGCAAAUUAAGGCUUAUAUUUUUGGUGGUGUUCAAAUAUGGGUAAAUUUAUGAUAAAUAGUGCACAAAUAACAUGGGAUGACAUUUACAUCCUGGGUAUAAAUAUGGUUUUUAGGGCCAGUUUCCUAAUUUUUAAACUGAAGUUGGAGUUGAGGUUCUUUUUUUUUUUUUUUUUUUUUAAGUUUUAUUUCUUUAAGUAAUCUCUACACCCUACACGGGGCUCAAACUCACAACCCUGAGAUCAAGAGUCAGAUGCUCUACUGACUGAGCCAACCAGGCACCCCCUGGAGUUGGGCUUUUAAAAAAUAUGUUACUCUAUUAGGAAUAGAUUUCCAGAGUUGUUACAUCAAUAAGAACUUCACAUGCUUCAGCUAAAAAAUACAGUUAUAAAAAAGGAAAAAAUUGUGUUAGAUCCUUUAACACUGGAAACAGGAUAUUAUUUUCCUUGCAGCCAAACUUUGCAGCUUCUCAAAUUUGUUUUCAAUUGUUAGAUUCUCUUUAGAGAGCUUUGUCCUCGCCUUCUCAACAGAUGUCUCUCAAAUAAGCUUGGAUGUUUAAGAGAAAUCAAAUUUUUACAUCAAGCUGCAACAAUAAUUAAAAAACAAACACUGUCUGUAUUUCUGUAUGGGAGAAUUCCUCUUCCCAAAUAUCUUCAACUAAUGUUUCAAUUUCAGGAAAGUAAAUGGUGUCCCUCCUUGAAAUAAAUCCAAUAAUACUAUUUUUUAUGAAGUUACAUAAAUGUUAAACUUUUAUAAUUAAGAUGAGGCUACAGACAGAAAACCUAAACCUCCAGCCACUUCCUUUUUAAAAGGUUUAUUUCAUCUUUCUCUCAGAAACCUCAUUUAAAGUCAACUAGAAACUGAUGUGAGGAUAAAAGAAAAUACCCACUUAGAAAAUACCUGAGCACAAACUUUCUUUCCUUCAGAAAUAUGAGCUCUAAGCAGAAGAGACAUUAAAAGCAAGUACUGUAAGAAAGAAAACUUAGCCCUCAUAGGUAAAAAAAAAAAAAAAAAAAAAAGAAGAAGAAACUCUGAGAUCAUGCUUCAUGCUGUCCAUUGUUAGAUGGUAGCCUUCAGAGCGGUUCCUUUACAGAAAGUUUUCUGGAGUUAAAACGCAAGCAUACAACCUACUGAGCACUCCUACUGUUUCAUUAUUUAUUACACAACUAUGUUACUAAUAGCAAUAAUGUGUGCAAGGCAGCCCAUGAUUUCUUAGCAAAACUAAUGCCGAUAAACCAAAGAAAGCUUCUAAAGCAUACUGUAAUAGGUAGUUUAAAGUUUUUUCUUACAAUGCUACAUUUAGAAAGAGUCAAGCCAUGCAGUGCUUUAUAGCUUAAGAUUUCAAUGUACUUUUAAAAAAAAAAAAACCGCCUCUCAGCCUUCAGAAGACAGCCAUGUGUCUGCCUCUCCUCAGCUCUGGGAGAAGCCGUGCUCCCAGCAGACCCUGAGGGUGAUGCUUUCUGAGUCCGCCUGUUGAUACCGAUUCAACCAGACUCGACUUUCCUCUUGAGAGCCAAAUGAACUUACUAAAUGUAGUACCUUUGUAAUGUCCCAUGGCAGUCUUAUGUAUAGCAAUUCAGUUCUUGCUUUGGAAGUCCGUGGAUGGCCAGAGUCAUUUUGGAAAAAGUUAAAUCUGAUAAUAAAUACUUAACUUCAUUGUAUUUCCCUUUUUUUGGAUAUCAGGUUGCUUUUCCACAUAAACCGGAAAAGGAGGCAAACUAUGUUAUUCUUUAGACAUUGGAAGAUACUCUGCAACUGGGCACUGGCUGCUUAAUGGAGAUUAAGGCUUUUAAAAAUAGGAAAGCUUUUUGAAGAUCACCAAGUGAAGAGCAUAAGGAAAACUUGCUUAAGUUCUGCCACAUGGAGACUCUUGGACAGCAAGCUGCCUCGGCGUUCCGCUUAUUAAUUCCUGAUGGGCUCUAUGGAGUUAAUCAGCCGUUAGGCACGUGUUCUGGGGAUCUAACAGAUGGCCUGUCACUGUGCUCUGAGAGCUGGAAGUUCCUUCCCUUGAGUUUCUGAAAGGCCUGGAGACAGCUGACUGGUUAUUAGCUGGGUGAAGAUAGUUUGAUGAACAGGAGUGAAAGCGAAGAUUGAGGUUGCUGGUUACCAGGGCCAAGGGGACAUGUACAAGUCAGGGAAGACCCAACCACAAACUCCUCCAAGACAAAGCACAGCCACCCAGCCACGAGGGAGCACGUGGGCGGAGGCGCCUCACAGAUCUGUGUCCCCUGCUGCUCUGCAAACUGUACUUGGUGUUGAGCUGUUCUCACUUGAUGGUGUGGGACGACGUGCUAGGUAACAGAGAGAGUCGGGGAGGGGCAGAGGGAGAGAGAGAAUCUCAAGCAGCUCCUUAUUGAAUGUAAAGCCCGACACGGGGCUCCAUCCCACAACCCUGGGAUCAUGACCUCAGCUGAAAUCAAGAGUCUGAUGCUCAACCGGCUGAACCAUCCAGAGCCAUCCAUACUUCUGCCUUAUUUUUAUUACGAACAAUGAAGAAGGCUGAAAAACACCAUCAUCAGUUUUAAGAUUUGGGUUCCCAAAGAAGUGACUGGUGUCAUCUGGGGGAGAUUUGGAAUCAGGGAGGACCAUUACAAGACUGGGUCCAGGUUCACCUGUUUUAAUCGUUCCCUUGACACACUGGUGAGUGACCUACAGCAGUUCAGACCUACUUGCUGGUCCGCCCUCCAUUUCCCUUCCCACUCAGAGAGAAGAGAGGCUUUUUUUUUUCGCUUUUUGGCUUUGAGGAGGUAUUCUGUCAGCAGUAAUGUUAAGCAAUGCCUACUUCAAAAUGCAUGAAUCAACUCUUAUUUGAAUAGAAUUAUUCAUUCUUUGAUUUCUCAACAUCUUGUUGCUUCGAAGUCUUCGAUCCUGGUCAAACUGAAAGAUACAUGGCUGAAUUUGAAAUGGAAUCAAUAAAAAUCAAGGGUUCCUUUCACUCUCCAAUUUCUGUGCAGAGCUUUACCAGACAGAGCUGAAGUCAUUUUGAAAGCACUGAUUUCUUCUUCCUUUUAUAGGCCAUUUUAAAUAUUAAGCAUUACUUGGGACUAUAAAUAAACAAGUUUCUUCUCUGCCUCAUUCUUCUCACCUGAGGCCAAACACGUUAGAACUUGCCUUUUAGAGCAAUUCUCCAGCCAUGAAAACAUGAUGUCAUUACUCUGCAGUCUGGCAUGCAGUCCCCGUCUACUCAUUCCCUCCAUCCCUACUCUGUCCCUGGAGUUCCAGUCUACUACUUAAUUAGCCCUGCUCUUUCUCUUCUUUGUCCUUCUGACACCCAGUGCCAGCCGUCUUGAGAAACCCCAGCGAUGACUGAGCUGAUCUGGAGCCAAGGGACUUGCCCCUCAGACAAGGACUGUGCAGGGAAAGGGCCGGAGGGAAGAGGUUCACAGGCUGAGGGCCAGGGAAGCUUAAGUGGCACGUGCACAGCAGGAAGCAGAAUGACUGAUGUCAGUUGAUUUGUUUGCUGUCUAUCCAUCCUAAGUGCCAUUAAGUAAUAACAUGGGUGUAAUUGGCUGAGCACCCUAAACGCAAAUGUCUGUAAGGUGAAGUGCUUUAAGCCAGAGACUGCCUGCACAUGCAUUUACAUUUAUGGGAGUGUGUUUCCACAAUGCUUCCGGUCGUUCUCCGAAAUAGCACACCACCCUGCUUACAAACAGGCGGUUCCCGUGUACUAGUGACACAUACAGGAGUGACUAUGAUGUUACAGGAAAAUGUCUUUAAGAAUGCCAAAAUUUAAGGCUGAUUUUGAAAUGCCUGAUGCAUGAAUACACAAUUAAGUUAAUUAACAUAGCCGAAUCCUUAGGCACACCAUCCUAAACACAGAGCUUGUUAUUAUUAUAAGGUAAUGAAGUAUGGUUCAGCAGCAGCAUUUUGCAUGAAAUUAAAAAAAAACUUUUUUUUUCACUUUCCCUAUUUGAAGAAUUUGGCAGGUGUUGAUGAAACUUAAAACUGACAAGAUAAUUCUCCAAACGAAAGACUAUUACUUUUGGAAGUCACUGUGUGACUUCCCAGUGAAAGCAAAGUAUGAGUUGCUCUCCUUACUGAGUGCUAAAUAUCCUUUUAUUUGCUUUGUAAAGAGAUGCUUUAUAGAGCUUAGACUAGCGAGAUGCAAAGAAGUGAAAUGCCUGGGUAAAAUCUGGACACCCUUACUUUCUAGGGGUUGCUAGAAUACAAGUGUAACUAUCAGCAUUCAUUAUUUAGAUUAAGUUGUUUCCAAAGCAACUUUGACAGUUAUAAAUAAAACUCAGAGACCUUCAGUUAGGAAAAUGGAAAAGAUAAAAUAAACGGAAUUUAAAUUGCUUUAGAAAGCAUUAGUCUAUGCAGGAAUUUAUGAGGGAAAAAGAACUGGGCACCUUGUUUAGGGGUUUUGGGUAUUAAAAAUAUUUCAUUUCCAAGGAUGACUUCCAAGUUUACAUUAAAUAUAAAAUAAAAUCUGAAUUGCUUUCACAUGGCAGGACAAAUAAAACUUUUUUUUGAAAGUGGUUACUAUUUUUAGCAUAUUAUUAUGUACACAAAAUGAGUAGAACUAAUCCCACAAUAAAUCACAUUUUCUGGAUA